rnacentral:tRNA from 1 species
CACUAAGAAGCUAUUACCCAGCAACAGCCUUUUAAGCUGUAGACAGGAGAUUACAACCUCCCUUAGGGA